GAUGAACGCUGGCGGCGUGCCUAAUACAUGCAAGUCGAGCGAACAGAUGAGGAGCUUGCUCCUCUGACGUUAGCGGCGGACGGGUGAGUAACACGUGGAUAACCUACCUAUAAGACUGGGAUAACUUCGGGAAACCGGAGCUAAUACCGGAUAAUAUAUUGAACCGCAUGGUUCAAUAGUGAAAGACGGUUUUGCUGUCACUUAUAGAUGGAUCCGCGCCGCAUUAGCUAGUUGGUAAGGUAACGGCUACCAAGGCAACGAUGCGUAGCCGACCUGGGAGGGUGAUCGGCCACACUGGAACGGAGACACGGUCCAGACUCCUACGGGAGGCAGCAGUAGGGAAUCUUCCGCAAUGGGCGAAAGCCUGACGGAGCAACGCCGCGUGAGUGAUGAAGGUCUUCGGAUCGUAAAACUCUGUUAUUAGGGAAGAACAAAUGUGUAAGUAACUAUGCACGUCUUGACGGUACCUAAUCAGAAAGCCACGGCUAACUACGUG
rnacentral:rRNA from 1 species